AAGUCGUAACAAGGUUUCCGUAGGUGAACCUGCGGAAGGAUCAUUAUACAAUUCAAUAAUAAAUCAUACACACUUGUGCACCAAUUGUAGGUUAGCUCAAAAGAGUUUCACCUAUGUACUUCUACAUCACACUUUUAUACAUCGCAUGUCUAUAGAAUGCUUUUAAAUCAUAUAUAACUUUCAGCAACGGAUCUCUUGGUUCUCGCAUCGAUGAAGAACGCAGCGAAUUGCGAUAAGUAAUGUGAAUUGCAGAUUUUCAGUGAAUCAUCGAAUCUUUGAACGCACCUUGCGCUCCUUGGUAUUCCGAGGAGCAUGCCUGUUUGAGUGUCAUUUUAUUUCUCAACCAUGUCUUUUUAUCUAAGACAUGGAUUGGACAUGGAGGUUGCUGGCAGCUGCAAGGCUAAAUCAGCUCUUCUCAAUUGUAUUAGCGAUCAGUUUGAAAAUGCAAGUCGACCUUUUCAUCGACAUGCCAACUAGCCUUUGACGUGAUAAUCGUCUCGUCGUAGUGAAUUUUUGGUAUUGCAUCAAUAGACUUUCGCUUCUAAUUACACUGUACUUAGCUACUAGUUGGGCUCUCUCAGCCUAGCGAACGCGGUACUCCAUUUCUAUCACUUGACCUCAAAUCAGGUAGGACUACCCGCUGAACU
rnacentral:rRNA from 2 species